UGACAUAUCAUUCAAGUUUCUGACCUAUCAGCUUUAGACGGUAGGGUAUUGGCCUACCGUGGCUAUGACGGGUAACGGGGAAUUAGGGUUCGAUUCCGGAGAGGGAGCCUGAGAAACGGCUACCACAUCUAAGGAAGGCAGCAGGCGCGCAAAUUACCCAAUCCUAAUACAGGGAGGUAGUGACAAGAAAUAACAAUACAGAGCCUUACGGUUUUGUAAUUGGAAUGAGUUAAGUAUAAACCCCUUAACAAGUAUCAAUUGGAGGGCAAGUCUGGUGCCAGCAGCCGCGGUAAUUCCAGCUCCAAUAGCGUAUAUUAAAGUUGUUGCAGUUAAAAAGCUCGUAGUUAAUUUUCUGUUAAUUUUUAUAUACAAUGCUACGGUAUUUAUAUAAUAUUAACAUAAUUCAUAUUACUUUUUAGUAUAUGAAACUUUACUUUGAGAAAAUUAGAGUGCUUAAAGCAGGCUAUUGCCUUGAAUACUCCAGCAUGGAAUAAUAUUAAGGAUUUUUAUUCUUCUUAUUGGUUCUAGAAUAAAAAUAAUGAUUAAUAGGGACAGUUGGGGGCAUUUGUAUUUAACAGUCAGAGGUGAAAUU
rnacentral:rRNA from 1 species